AUUAAUCUUCAGAAGAGGUGCAGUAAUUUCUCAAAGAUCUUCAGAUAAUAUGGCUAGGGGACCUAGAAGUAGCAGCAUAUCUC